rnacentral:tRNA from 1 species
GGAAAUGUGCCCGAAAGUUAAGGACCUCUUUGAUAAAGAGAACCACAGGGGUUCAAAUCCCCUCACUUCCAU